rnacentral:lncRNA from 1 species
CCACCAGCCUUGCUGCUGGACGCUAAUCAGCGUGUGGCUUCUUUUGAAGUUAGCUCUUCCACCUCUGAGUGGGAAAGCAUCCCUUCACCUCCAGAAGGCUAACACCUUCCCUGACACCUUUCCCUUCUGUGCUUUCCCUGCUCUCACGCGUGUGUCUCGUCUUCCCUGCUUUCACCCUGUGCAGGUGGCCUCUACCUACAAGGGUACAGCGUGAUCGAGCAAACCCACGGCUUUGAGCAACCGGUGAUUGAGCUCAGACCUUCAUCCGAGGAGUUCAAGACUUUCUACUUCUGUGCAGAAAAUAAAACAGAAAAUCAGCGCUGGAUUGCAGCUUUGAAAACAUCUAUCAAAAAAUGGCUUCCUUUGGACCAAGCUAUUCAGGAGUUCAUGAAUCGACCUCUAGAGGAGACCAGAAUGUGAAGAAACUAAAAAGACGGAUUCCAUGAGGCUGCUCCCAGCUUGAGGAAAGAGGCAAGGCAUUUCUCUCCAGUGUCCUGAAACACAGUUGUUCAAAUGAAUCUACUCCUUACGUUUGUAAAAACUUGGAGCAACUUCCUGAUAUCAGUGUUCGAGUGCUGCACUUAUGUCAAAGCCUCCACGACUUACAUUUGCAUCUGCAUAGCCUAGUCCCCUCUUUCUAGCCCUUGAAAGCAUAAAUAAACAUGUAUUUGUCUUAUUUUU